CCCUCAUUCUACGCGUUCCACAGACGCACGAAGAGAGAGAGAGAGAGAGAGAGAGAGAGAGAGAGACGAUCGAAGAAGAGGAGAAAUCGAUCAAGAAGAACACGAUAGCCGAUGACGAACGAAGAUUUUUCAGAAUAAAACCAAGAGCAGAUCCACGAAAAAGAGACCACGAUCGAAGAAUAAUGAAAAACCACAAGAUUAGGGUUCCAGUUCAAGGUAUCUUAGGGUUCCAUUUCAGAUCGAUGAACGAAGAAAAAGAGGAGGACGAAAAUCAAAACGACUGAAGAUACAGUUCCAUCGGAUUUCCAUACAACACAUCCUUUCUUCAUUGGGGAGGUUGAUUUGUGCACUUGAAAAAAUCAAAGCUUAACAGGCUGAUUUAGUCAAGAAAGUAGACAUCUCCGUUUAGUAGUAGUAAUAUUUCAAUGGUUAGGAUUUAUAGGAGGCGAAUUGCAAGUUUAUUAUUGCAAGUUUUAUUAUUAGGAUGUUCAGUGCUUUAUUCUGGAUGCUUGUUGAGUAUUUUAUGGUUAAUAUUUUAUGAUUGAGCUAAAUCAUGUUUUUAAUCCUUGAACGUUUAUACAAAAGGGGUCUGCUUUUAGUCUUUGGUAAUGAACAUAGUUGUGUUCAAACUUCAAACUAUAAGACUCAUAACCUAAACGCCAGUACAGUACUAUUAAAUAUAACAUAAGUUGAUAAACUCGUACUCUCUUUGGAUUCCUCCAACAAGGGGCAUUGUAUCCUUUUAAACUGAUUUCAGUUGUGGUUUUGUAUAGCAGUCUACUAGUGUGGUAAGCGAUUGACUAUGA